rnacentral:rRNA from 1 species
CGAAGAUGGCGACCGGCGCACGGGUGAGUAACACGUAUCCAACCUGCCGAUAACUCUGGAAUAGCCUUUCGAAAGAAAGAUUAAUACCGGAUGGCAUACGAAUAUCGCAUGAUAUUUUUAUUAAAGAAUUUCGGUUAUCGAUGGGGAUGCGUUCCAUUAGUUUGUUGGCGGGGUAACGGCCCACCAAGACAACGAUGGAUAGGGGUUCUGAGAGGAAGGUCCCCCACAUUGGAACUGAGACACGGUCCAA